rnacentral:rRNA from 1 species
CUUGAGUUACUGCGGAGGACAUUA